GAGUACGAGCGGCUACGGCCGCGAAGUGGAUGAUGUCAAGCUUCCAAGAAAAGCCCUAUACCCGUUAAGGCAUGAUGGCCUGUACCCGAAACCGACACAGGUGGGGUGGUAGAGAAUACCGAGGGGCGCGAGGUAACUCUCUCUAAGGAACUCGGCAAAAUGGCCCCGUAACUUCGGGAGAAGGGGUGCCACCGCGAGGUGGUCGCAGUGAAGAGGCCCAGGCGACUGUUUACCAAAAACACAGGUCUCCGCUAAGUCGCAAGACGAUGUAUGGGGGCUGACGCCUGCCCAGUGCCGGAAGGUUAAGGAAGCUGGUCAGCGCAAGCGAAGCUGGCGACUGAAGCCCCGGUGAACGGCGGCCGUAACCAUAACGGUCCUAAGGUAGCGAAAUUCCUUGUCGGGUAAGUUCCGACCCGCACGAAAGGCGUAACGAUCUGGGCGCUGUCUCGGAGAGAGGCUCGGCGAAAUAGAAUUGUCUGUGAAGAUGCGGACUACGUGCACCCGGACAGAAAGACCCUAUGAAGCUUUACUGUAGCUUGGUAUUGUGCUCGGGCUCGGAAUGCGCAGGAUAGGUGGGAGGCUUUGAUCCAUUGCUUGCGGGUGAUGGUGAGCCACUGGUGAGAUACCACUCUUUCCGAGCUAGAGUUCUAACAGCAACCCGUUAUCCGGGUGCUGGACAGUAUCAGGUGGGCAGUUUGACUGGGGCGGUCGCCUCCUAAAAGGUAACGGAGGCGCGCAAAGGUCUGCUCAGGCUGGUUGGAAAUCAGCCGACGAGUGUAAAAGCAGAAGCAGGCUUGACUGUGAGACCUACAAGUCGAACAGGGAGGAAACUCGGCUUUAGUGAUCCGACGGUUCUGCGUGGAAGGGCCGUCGCUCAACGGAUAAAAGUUACUCUAGGGAUAACAGGCUGAUCUCCCCCAAGAGUUCACAUCGACGGGGAGGUUUGGCACCUCGAUGUCGGCUCAUCGCAACCUGGGGCUGAAGUCGGUCCCAAGGGUUGGGCUGUUCGCCCAUUAAAGCGGUACGCGAGCUGGGUUCAGAACGUCGUGAGACAGUUCGGUCCAUAUCCGGUGCACGCGCAGGAAUAUUGAGAGGAUUUCUCCCUAGUACGAGAGGACCGGGAGGAACGCACCUCUGGUGUGCCAGUUAUCGUGCCAACGGUAAACGCUGGGUAGCCAUGUGCGGAGUGGAUAACCGCUGAAAGCAUCUAAGUGGGAAGCCCACCUCAAGAUGAGUAUUCCCAUGGCAUAAGCCAGUAAGGUCACGGGAAGAACACCCGUUGAUAGGCUCUACGUGGAAGCGCAGUAAUGUGUGAAGCGGAGGAGUACUAAUAGACCGAGGGCUUGAC
rnacentral:rRNA from 1 species